UACGUAGGUCACAAGCGUUAUCCGGAAUUAUUGGGCGUAAAGGGUCUCUAGGUGGUUAUGCGGGUCUUACGUAAAAUUCCCAAGCUUAACUUGGGUUUCGCGUAAGAAACUACAUGGCUGGAGGAUAGCAGGGGCAGAUGGAAUUCCCGGUGUAGCAGUGAAAUGCGUUGAUAUCGGGAAGAACACCAAUGGCGCAGGCAGUCUGCUAGGCUAUUCCUGACACUGAAGGACGAAAGCGUGGGGAGCGAAUGGG
rnacentral:rRNA from 1 species